rnacentral:tRNA from 1 species
GCCCCCGUGUCCCAACCGGCAGAGGAAGGCGCCUUAAAAGCGCUGUGUUGCGGGUUCGAAUCCCGCCGGGGGCACCC